rnacentral:rRNA from 2 species
UUUUACGGAGAGUUUGAUCCUGGCUCAGGACGAACGCUGGCGGCGUGCUUAACACAUGCAAGUCGAACGAUGAUGCCCAGCUUGCUGGGUGGAUUAGUGGCGAACGGGUGAGUAACACGUGAGUAACCUGCCCCUGACUCUGGGAUAAGCGUUGGAAACGACGUCUAAUACUGGAUAUGAUCACUGGCCGCAUGGUCUGGUGGUGGAAAGAUUUUUUGGUUGGGGAUGGACUCGCGGCCUAUCAGCUUGUUGGUGAGGUAAUGGCUCACCAAGGCGACGACGGGUAGCCGGCCUGAGAGGGUGACCGGCCACACUGGGACUGAGACACGGCCCAGACUCCUACGGGAGGCAGCAGUGGGGAAUAUUGCACAAUGGGCGAAAGCCUGAUGCAGCAACGCCGCGUGAGGGAUGACGGCCUUCGGGUUGUAAACCUCUUUUAGUAGGGAAGAAGCGAAAGUGACGGUACCUGCAGAAAAAGCACCGGCUAACUACGUGCCAGCAGCCGCGGUAAUACGUAGGGUGCAAGCGUUGUCCGGAAUUAUUGGGCGUAAAGAGCUCGUAGGCGGUUUGUCGCGUCUGCUGUGAAAUCCCGAGGCUCAACCUCGGGCUUGCAGUGGGUACGGGCAGACUAGAGUGCGGUAGGGGAGAUUGGAAUUCCUGGUGUAGCGGUGGAAUGCGCAGAUAUCAGGAGGAACACCGAUGGCGAAGGCAGAUCUCUGGGCCGUAACUGACGCUGAGGAGCGAAAGCGUGGGGAGCGAACAGGAUUAGAUACCCUGGUAGUCCACGCCGUAAACGUUGGGCGCUAGAUGUAGGGACCUUUCCACGGUUUCUGUGUCGUAGCUAACGCAUUAAGCGCCCCGCCUGGGGAGUACGGCCGCAAGGCUAAAACUCAAAGGAAUUGACGGGGGCCCGCACAAGCGGCGGAGCAUGCGGAUUAAUUCGAUGCAACGCGAAGAACCUUACCAAGGCUUGACAUACACCGGAAACGGCCAGAGAUGGUCGCCCCCUUGUGGUCGGUGUACAGGUGGUGCAUGGUUGUCGUCAGCUCGUGUCGUGAGAUGUUGGGUUAAGUCCCGCAACGAGCGCAACCCUCGUUCUAUGUUGCCAGCGCGUUAUGGCGGGGACUCAUAGGAGACUGCCGGGGUCAACUCGGAGGAAGGUGGGGAUGACGUCAAAUCAUCAUGCCCCUUAUGUCUUGGGCUUCACGCAUGCUACAAUGGCCGGUACAAAGGGCUGCGAUACCGUAAGGUGGAGCGAAUCCCAAAAAGCCGGUCUCAGUUCGGAUUGAGGUCUGCAACUCGACCUCAUGAAGUCGGAGUCGCUAGUAAUCGCAGAUCAGCAACGCUGCGGUGAAUACGUUCCCGGGCCUUGUACACACCGCCCGUCAAGUCAUGAAAGUCGGUAACACCCGAAGCCGGUGGCCUAACCCUUGUGGAAGGAGCCGUCGAAGGUGGGAUCGGUGAUUAGGACUAAGUCGUAACAAGGUAGCCGUACCGGAAGGUGCGGCUGGAUCACCUCCUUUCUAAGGA